AAUCAACGCUGGCGGCGUGCCUAACACAUGCAAGUCGAACGAGAAAGUGGAGCAAUCCAUGAGUACAGUGGCGACCGGGGGAGUAACACGUGACUAACCUACCUUCGAGUGGGGGAUAACCUCGGGAAACCGAGGCUAAUACCGCAUAACAUCGAGAGAUCAAAGGAGCAAUUCGCUUGAAGAGGGGGUCGCGGCUGAUUAGCUAGUUGGCGGGGUAAUGGCCCACCAAGGCGAAGAUCGGUAGCCGGCCUGAGAGGGCGCACGGCCACACUGGAACUGAAACACGGUCCAGACUCCUACGGGAGGCAGCAGUGGGGAAUUUUGCGCAAUGGGGGAAACCCUGACGCAGCAACGCCGCGUGGAGGAUGAAGCCCCUUGGGGUGUAAACUCCUUUCGACCAAGACGAUAAUGACGGUACUGGUGGAAGAAGCACCGGCUAACUCUGUGCCAGCAGCCGCGGUAAUACAGAGGGUGCGAGCGUUGUUCGGAAUUAUUGGGCGUAAAGGGCGCGUAGGCGGUGCAACAAGUCACCUGUGAAAUCUCUGGGCUUAACUCAGAGCCUGCAGGCGAAACUGCUGUGCUGGAGUAUGGGAGAGGUGCGUGGAAUUCCCGGUGUAGCGGUGAAAUGCGUAGAUAUCG
rnacentral:rRNA from 1 species